GAUUUCAACUAAAAAAGUCAUUAACAACAAAGUUGUGUAACUUAUCAAGAUCUAUAACUUUUAUUUUAAUCAUUUUUUCAUCUGACAAAGCGAUAGCAAUAUUGUUUACAAAAUUUACAUAUAUCGUAUAUGGUUUCAUAAGAUAUAAGAGAUAUAUGCAAAUUUUAUGAAAGAUGUUACUAUCACUUGGUCGGAUGAAGAAAUGACUAAAAUAAAAGUUUUAGCUCUUGAUGAGUUCUACAACUUUUAUAUUCAUAACUUUUUCAGUUGAAAUU
rnacentral:pre_miRNA from 2 species